rnacentral:rRNA from 1 species
AUUGAACGCUGGCGGCAUGCUUUACACAUGCAAGUCGAACGGUAACAGGUUAAGCUGACGAGUGGCGAACGGGUGAGUAAUGCAUCGGAACGUGCCCGGUCGUGGGGGAUAACGCAGCGAAAGCUGCGCUAAUACCGCAUACGAUCUGAGGAUGAAAGCGGGGGACCGUAAGGCCUCGCGCGAUCGGAGCGGCCGAUGUCAGAUGAGGUAGUUGGUGGGGUAAAGGCUCACCAAGCCAACGAUCUGUAGCUGGUCUGAGAGGACGACCAGCCACACUGGGACUGAGACACGGCCCAGACUCCUACGGGAGGCAGCAGUGGGGAAUUUUGGACAAUGGGCGAAAGCCUGAUCCAGCAAUGCCGCGUGCAGGAAGAAGGCCUUCGGGUUGUAACUGCUUUUGUACGGAGCGAAAAGGUCUCCUCUAAUACAGGGGGCUCAUGACGGUACCGUAAGAAUAAGCACCGGCUAACUACGUGCCAGCCGCCGCAGUAA